rnacentral:rRNA from 1 species
GUUACCGCCGGGGCAGGUGGCGCGGUAAGUGUGGGGGUGCAGUGGUUAAUCGGAAUCACUGUGGGUAAAGAGCAUGUAGGGGGUAUAAUAAGUUUGAAGGGAAAUCCUAUAGCUUAACUAGAGAACUGCUUUUAAAACGUGUAAGCUAGAAUGUGGGAGAGGUAGAUGGAAUUUCUGGUGUAGGGGUAAAAUCCGUAGAGAUCAGAAGGAAUACCGAUUGCGAAGGCGAUCUACUGGAACAUUAUUGACGCUGAGAUGCGAAAGCGUGGGGAGCAAACAGGAUUAGAUACCCGAGUAGUC